rnacentral:rRNA from 1 species
GAUGAACGCUGGCGGCGUGCUUAACACAUGCAAGUCGAACGGUGAAGCAGGAGCUUGCUCUUGUGGAUCAGUGGCGAACGGGUGAGUAACACGUGAGCAACCUGCCCCUGACUCUGGGAUAAGCGCUGGAAACGGCGUCUAAUACUGGAUAUGUGAUGUGACCGCAUGGUCUGCAUCUGGAAAGAAUUUCGGUUGGGGAUGGGCUCGCGGCCUAUCAGCUUGUUGGUGAGGUAAUGGCUCACCAAGGCGUCGACGGGUAGCCGGCCUGAGAGGGUGACCGGCCCCACUGGGGCUGAGACACGGCCCAGACUCCUACGGGAGGCAGCAGUGGGGAAUAUUGCACAAUGGGCGGAAGCCUGAUGCAGCAACGCCGCGUGAGGGAUGACGGCCUUCGGGUUGUAAACCUCUUUUAGCAGGGAAGAAGCGAAAGUGACGGUACCUGCAGAAAAAGCACCGGCUAACUACGUGCCAGCCGCCGCAGUAA